rnacentral:rRNA from 1 species
AUUGAACGCUGGCGGCAGGCCUAACACAUGCAAGUCGAGCGGUUGAGGUAGCUUGCUACCGAUGCAGCGGCGAACGGGUGAGUAAUACAUGGGAAUCUGCCUGGUAGUGGGGGACAACGUCUCGAAAGGGACGCUAAUACCGCAUACGCCCUACGGGGGAAAGGGGGGGAUCUUCGGCCCUCUCGCUAUCAGUUGAGCCCAUGUCAGAUUAGCUAGUUGGUGGGGUAAAGGCUAACCAAGGCGCCGAUCUGAAACUGGUCUGAGAGGAUGAUCAGUCACACUGGAACUGAGACACGGUCCAGACUCCUACGAGAGGCAGCAGUGGGGAAUAUUGGACAAUGGGCGCAAGCCUGAUCCAGCCGUGCCGCGUGUGUGAAGAAGGCCUUAGGGUUGUAAAGCACUUUCAGUGGGGAGAAAGGUUAUUCACCUAAUACGUGAGUAAAUUGAUGUUACCCACAGAAGAAGCACCGGCUAACUCCGUGCCAGCCGCCGCCGUAA